rnacentral:rRNA from 1 species
CCCGGCGACCGGCGCACGGGUGAGUAACACGUAUGCAACCUGGCCGUGACAGAUGGAUAACCGGGAGAAAUCCCGCCUAAUACAACAUGAUGCCGGGAGGGGACAUCCCCUGCCGGCCAAAGGGGGCGACCCCGGUCACGGAUGGGCAUGCGGCGCAUUAGGUAGUUGGUGGGGCAACGGCCCACCAAGCCGACGAUGCGUAGGGGUUCUGAGAGGAAGGUCCCCCACAUUGGAACUGAGACACGGUCCAAACUCCUACGGAAGGCAGCAG